GGCAGCUCUGCUCUUUCUUCUUCCUGUUAUAAAGACACCAGUGUCGUGCCUAAGAUAGUGUUACCUAACACUAUUUACAUCGCAGAGACCCCAACUCCAAUCAGCAUCAGUGUAUGGAUUAGGUUUCCAAAACAUCAAAUUUGGGGGACGCAUUCAACACAUAGCAUCUAGCAAACCAAAUCUGCAUGGUGAUUUUACUAGAUGCUGAGUUGGGCAGAUCUGAGUUCUUGACAAGGCAGAAAGAUGUAAAGCUGUUUGUGAAAUGCAAGAGAGAAGAAGAUCACACUCAGAAUGCAGACAUCACACCUGGCAGGGAGCUCAAGCCUCAGACUGUGCACCUCAUACCAGUGCCAACGGAAAGUGACAUUCAUUAGGGCAAAAUCUUGUUACAGCCUUCUGCAUUGACUCACAAGCUAAUAAUAUUGACAGCACUUUUGUUCACUCUGGGUGAAAAUGUGUUGCCUUCAGUGUUUUCCCAGUGAGUAUAAACAACAGUGGCAC
rnacentral:lncRNA from 1 species